UCGAAAGCUUGCUUUUGAUGGGCGUCGACCGGCACACGGGUGAGUAACGCGUAUCCAACCUGCCCACCACUUGGGGAUAACCUUGCGAAAGUAAGACUAAUACCCAAUGACGUCUCUAGAAGACAUCUGAAAGAGAUUAAAGAUUUAUCGGUGAUGGAUGGGGAUGCGUCUGAUUAGCUUGUUGGCGGGGUAACGGCCCACCAAGGCAACGAUCAGUAGGGGUUCUGAGAGGAAGGUCCCCCACAUUGGAACUGAGACACGGUCCAAACUCCUACGGGAGGCAGCAGUGAGGAAUAUUGGUCAAUGGACGAGAGUCUGAACCAGCCAAGUAGCGCGCAGGAUGACGGCCCUAUGGGUUGUAAACUGCUUUUAUAAGGGAAUAAAGUGAGUCUCGUGAGACUUUUUGCAUGUACCUUAUGAAUAAGGACCGGCUAAUUCCGUGCCAGCAGCCGCGGUAAUACGGAAGGUCCGGGCGUUAUCCGGAUUUAUUGGGUUUAAAGGGAGCGUAGGCCGGAGAUUAAGCGUGUUGUGAAAUGUAGACGCUCAACGUCUGCACUGCAGCGCGAACUGGUUUCCUUGAGUACGCACAAAGUGGGCGGAAUUCGUGGUGUAGCGGUGAAAUGCCUAGAUAUCACGAAGAACUCCGAUUGCGAAGGCAGCU
rnacentral:rRNA from 1 species